rnacentral:rRNA from 1 species
UACGGAGGGGGCUAGCGUUGCUCGGAAUUACUGGGCGUAAAGCGCACGUAGGCGGCUCUUUAAGUCGGGGUGAAAUCCUGGAGCUCAACUCCAGAACUGCCUUCGAUACUGUAGAGCUUGAGUUCGGGAGAGGUGAGUGGAACUGCGAGUGUAGAGGUGAAAUUCGUAGAUAUUCGCAAGAACACCAGUGGCGAAGGCGGCUCACUGGCCCGAUACUGACGCUGAGGUGCGAAAGCGUGGGGAGCAAACAGGG